AGCGUUGCGAGAGGCAUCCUCGGCCCCGCCGCCGGGAAGAGAGCCCCGGGGGUGACGUGCGCGGACCCCAGCGGGAACUGCGCUGCCUGGCAGAUCUGGGGGGAGGGCGGCAGCAAUCUCGGGGAUGGAGGAGCCCCUACUCCCAGCUCGUCUUCAGGGGCCCUCCCCUCCCCCUACCGCCCCACUGGAUGCUGACCACUCGCUCGGAGCGUAAGGGUCCAGCAGCCCACUGGCACUGAAGGAAUAAAUAGCGGAUUAUAGCUAAAAUGCCUGAAUUAUAAAUUAAAAAGCUUGAAUUGUGCAAAAGAAAAAAAAAAUCAUCGGAUUUCUGGGAUAAGAAUGUUAAGGAGAAUAAAAGUGCCAUUAAAAAUAGUUUGAAAUAAAAUCAACACCAAUGAUAUUUCUCAAACGAUGGAAGAAUAGUGAUGUAGAAACAAUAGAACAUGCUGGUUUUGGAUUGUCCCAGAUCUGAACUUUCAUGUUACUUUAGUAUAAGCAAUAGAAGUCUAUCUGAAAUUAAAGAACAAGAAAAUUUUCCAUAAAUAAAAUACUGGCUGAAAAAAAUAGCACCAAACACUUGGAAGGUAAAGCAGGAAAUAUUGGUAAUAAUUAAAUUAAUCUUAAACAUUGAGAAGAAAACAUGAGGAUGAAAAAAAUCUUAAGAUAUUCUUGAUUUCUGUAGAACAAGAAAAAAACAACAAUAAAGGAAAAUGGGAGAGUGGAUAUUGAAGAAAAACUGGAAAGUUACCGUUACCCAAAUGAGUGUCAAAAGGAGAUGCUCAUACAGGAUAAUGAACUAAAGAACAACAAGUUAUCCAAACCAACUGAUAAUCAUCAUCCACUUGAUACUGGAGCAGCUGACCUAACAACAAUGUUUAAAUUCUCAUUUGCAAUCAUAUUCUCCAGCUAAGAGUGGUAGGGAAGUAUUCAAGUCAGCCAAUAAAAAUCCUUACAAACCGCCAGAGGGGUCACCAAUGUAACUUCAGACCUAUUAGGCAACACUUCAGAAAAAUGAACAAUGUUAACAUUCAAGCAAAAUUGAUCACUGCUGUUAUUAAAGAGGAACAAACCAGAAUGGCUUCUGCAAGGGAAAAACAGUACCUCUCUAACUUCUCCAGUCAUAUUUAAUGAGUCCAUGAAAAGAACAGGAGCUUUCAAAACCUUUUCAAGUCUAUCACGUAGUUAUUAAAAAAAAAAAAAGUGUAUUUUGCAUCUGGGAGCCUUCACCCUAAUGUUGAAAAGCAUUUCGAGUCCUCAAAAAAUAAAAGUUCAUACAACAGCAAGAGCUGAAGGACUAUUGC
ensembl:lncRNA